GGGAAUGUAGCUCAGUGGUAAAGUGUUUGCCUAGGAUGCAUAAGGCCCUAAGUUCAAAUCCCAGUACCA
rnacentral:tRNA from 1 species